rnacentral:rRNA from 1 species
GCGCAGCAGUCGCGAAAUUUGGGCAAUGGCCGAAAGGCUGACCCAGCGACGCUGCGUGUGGGAUGAAGCCCUUCGGGGCGUAAACCACUUUUCAGAAGGACGAGGGUUCAUCCGGCGAAUACCCGGACGGAUUGACGGUACUUCUGGAAUAAGCUCUGGCUAACCCCGUGCCAGCAGCCGCGGUAAGACGGGGAGAGCAAGCGUUGCCCGGAAUCGAUUGGGCUUAAAGGGGGCGUAGGCGGUUAGGUGUGUCAGACGUGUAAACUAUCGGGCUCAACCGAUAGCCUGCGUUUGAAACUACCUAGCUCGAGGGCGAAAGAGGAGAGCGGAACUCCCGGUGUAGCGGUGAAAUGCGUAGAUA